CAGCCACAUCAUCUCUUCAACCCAUGAAGCCACCUCAUCCCAUACACAAUAUGAGAUUCGUAAAUUCAGACAUCCCUUUACGAGAAGGUCCGCACAGAGAUUCCAACCUUUCAAUCUCUACCAUAUGUUGGUCGACCAAGGUAUCAACUUUCAUCUUCCCCUUUAAUUGAUUCAUUAGCUCCAAUGACUCUACCUCCACCUGCACUUUUCAAAAUCCAUACUCCCAAGCUAAAAGUAGUCCCUUAUAUAAACCCCAUCCUUCAACCACCAGAGCCGAGCACCACCCAACAUCCAUCGUGAAACCCUACACCCGAUCUCCUUCAUGAUUCCUAAGUACACCACCAUAACUUGCUAUCCCCGGAUUACCUCUACUAACCCCAUCCGUGUUGAGUUUUACCCAUCCCUCAACAGGUCUGCACCACUUACUCUCUAAAUCUCCUUUUACCUUACUCAUAAGAUGUAAUGGCAGAGCUUUUACUUUCCAGACCUCUUGCACAAAAGCCCAGAUUUGCCUCACUUGCACCAUCGAGUCAGCUCCUUUAAACACCCUCAAAAAUUAUAGGCCAAGUGUGGAGGUGAGCCAUGAGGCAUUGGAAGCUGAAAGAAGAGUUUUUAAGAUGAUGUUCAUAUGCUUCAAUUCUGCUAAGCCCUAAACACGAGUUUGAAGGAGAAUUGAGUCACCUAGGAAUGAAAGAGGAAGAAAUUCUAAGAAGGAAGAUUCUAUACCACGCGCCGCAGCUUGUGGAUAAGCUGCCACGACACAUGUGUGGCAACACACCUGGAAGAGGCUCUUUGUGCAAUGUGCCACAGCGCAUUAUAUGUUCACCGCGAUGCAUGGUCACUUUUUUGCUAUCAUAAGUCAUGAAAUGAAGCAAAAAACAGAGGAAAAACAAAUGAAACCAAGAGAGAGACGAGAGAGCAAUACUAGGGCUUGGGAAAAUUGAGUAUUGGGAGUAUUUUGAAGCUCAUAAACAUCAAAAGUAAGCUUCUUACACUUAAAUCCUUCUUUCUUCUUCCAUUUUCUUAAUGGUAGAAGUUAGAGUUUGGUUGAUAAUAGUGAUUUUCGGUCCAUAGAGGUUAUGGAUUUGAACUCAUUGACUUAAAUAUAGUUAAUGGGAAUAGAUUGAGCUAAGUAAACUUGAUAUUUAUAAUUAUAUGUUCAUUGGAAUUUGAAGGACAUUAAAUGUUUGAAAUUCUCAUAAAAAUGGU